rnacentral:rRNA from 1 species
UAGGGAAUCUUCGGCAAUGGGGGGAACCCUGACCGAGCAACGCCGCGUGAGUGAAGAAGGUUUUCGGAUCGUAAAGCUCUGUUGUUAAGGAAGAACGAGUGUGAGAAUGGAAAGUUCAUGCUGUGACGGUACUUAACCAGAAAGGGACGGCUAACUACGUGCCAGCAGCCGCGGUAAUACGUAGGUCCCGAGCGUUGUCCGGAUUUAUUGGGCGUAAAGCGAGCGCAGGCGGUUAGAAAAGUCUGAAGUGAAAGGCAGUGACUCAACCAUUGUAGGCUUUGGAAACUGUUUAACUUGAGUGCAGAAGGGGAGAGUGGAAUUCCAUGUGUAGCGGUGAAAUGCGUAGAUAUAUGGAGGAACACCGGUGGCGAAAGCGGCUCUCUGGUCUGUAACUGACGCUGAGGCUCGAAAGCGUGGGGGGCGAACAAG